UACAGAGGGUGCGAGCGUUGUCCGGAAUCACUGGGCGUAAAGGGCGCGUAGGCGGCCUGCUAAGUAGAGGGUGAAAUCCUGCGGCUCAACCGCAGGGUUGCCUUCUAAACUGUCAGGCUGGAGCACGGUAGAGGCAGAUGGAAUUCCCGGUGUAGCGGUGGAAUGCGUAGAGAUCGGGAAGAACACCAGUGGCGAAGGCGGUCUGCUGGGCCGUUGCUGACGCUGAGGCGCGACAGCGUGGGGAGCAAACAGG
rnacentral:rRNA from 1 species